rnacentral:rRNA from 1 species
UACGUAGAAGACUAGUGUUAUUCAUCUUUAAUAGGUUUAAAGGGUACCUAGACGGUAUAAUUAGUCUUUAACAGGAAACGGUUAUACUAGAGUUAUAUAUGAGGAGGUGAGUAUUUGUGGAGUAGUAGUUGAAAUUCUUUGAUACCAUGAAGACUGGUAAAGGCGAAAGCAACCUUUUAUCUAAUAACUGACGUUGAGGGACGAAGGCUCGGGUCGCGAACAGG